rnacentral:rRNA from 1 species
CAGUAGCCACGGUAAUACGAAGGGUGCAAGCGUUACUCGGAAUUACUGGGCGUAAAGCGUGCGUAGGUGGUGGUUUAAGUCCGUUGUGAAAGCCCUGGGCUCAACCUGGGAAUUGCAGUGGAUACUGGGUCACUAGAGUGUGGUAGAGGAUAGUGGAAUUUCCGGUGUAGCAGUGAAAUGCGUAGAGAUCGGAAGGAACAUCUGUGGCGAAGGCGACUAUCUGGGCCAACACUGACACUGAGGCACGAAAGCGUGGGGAGCAAACAGGAUUAGAUACCCCUGUAGUACCUGUCUCUUAUAC